GCUUGUGACUGUCACGGAACUGGCAUCUGCGAAAUGAAGUGUCCAUACUCUUACCAAGAUGAAGCCAAUCUACGUUUGUGUGCUGGGAGAAAGGGCUUCUGCCUUAUCAACGAUGGGGAUCAUGUCAUGCUGGACCGGAGUCAUGAUUACUACUUCCAAGUGAAGCACAGCUUCACAUUGUAGAUGCAGAGUACUGUGACUUUGUUGUGUGGAACCGCAAUGACAUUUUUGUGGAAAGGAUUUUGCCUGAUUCUGAACUUUGGGAUGAUGUGAUUCCUAAAGUUGAGUAUUUUUUUUAGAAAAAGUGUACUUCCAGAAAUACUGGGACAGCAAGUUACAAACGUACAUGUGUAAUGUGAUGAAAGAAUGUUUACUGUAAAAAUUAAAUGCCAUUGAUAAGA